rnacentral:rRNA from 1 species
AGCCAUGCAAUCUGCCCGCCGACUUCGGCGGACGGUGUACGGCUCAGUAACAAGUAGUCAAUCUGCCCUAAGGACGGGUACAACCUCGGGAAACUGAGGUCAAACCCCGAUGCCCCAUCUAUGCUGGAAUGCUUGAUGGGGAAAAUGCGCGGUGAAUUGGAGCCGUUGCGCCUUAGGAUGAGACUGCUCCUGAUUAGGUAGUUGGUGAGGUAACGGCUCACCAAGCCGAUAAUCAGUAGGGGCAAUGGGAGUUGGCGCCCCGAGAAGGGCACUGAGACAAGGGCCCUAGUCCUACGGGAUGCAGCAGGCGCGAAACCUUUACAAUGCGCGAAAGCGUGAUAAGGGAACUCUGAGUGGCAGCCGGCUUUUGCCGACUGUCUUUUGGCGAACCUAAACCGUUCGCAGAAUAAGUUCUGGGUUUGACCAGUGCCAGCCGCCAUGCGCAUGUGCAUAUUGCGCACGGUUAUGGCGGGUAAUACUGGGCAGAACGAGUGGUGCCCCACGAAUAUUGGGGUCUAAAAGAGACCCGUAGCUGGCCUGGUUAAGUCCCACUGUGAAAUCCUUGGGGGCUCCAACCCUCCAAGGCGUGGCAGUGGAAUACCUGGCCAGGCUUUGGAGAAGCGGGGGAAGGUCAGGGGGUACCUUUACGGGGGGUAUUGAGUAAACAUCCAGUUUGAUCCCUGGUAAAGGAACCACCCAGUGGGCGAAAGGCGCCCUGGACCCAAUAACGCGGUCUGAACAGGUGAGCGUCUCGAAGGCCUUAGGAGAACCGAAUCCGGAUUAUGGAUAUCUCCGAGUUAGACCCU